rnacentral:lncRNA from 1 species
GACUGUAUAUGAUUAUUAUCUUUAGUCCAACAUGUUUUUUCUUUAGUCCAACAUGGCAUAUGCCACAUUAGUCAAUUUAAUUCAAUUUUUUUAGUAAACCAUUUUAAUUCAUUUUACUUUAAUAUGUUUGUUUCUCAAACCCUACCACCGCUCAUCCUUCUCCAUCCUUCAGCACCAGAACCCUCCAGUGCCGCCCAAUAUCACAUCCAUUUAUAGUCAUCAUCACCAGCAUAGUGGCCCUUUGAUCUGAUUUUAGUAAAUAAAAAAUUUCAUAAAAGAGUAGAUUUGAUGUUCUUAAAAGAUUUAAGUUUUUUUUUUUUUUUUUCAUAAAAGAAUAGAUUCGAUCAAAGAACAUGAAGGCCUUGCAACCCAAACCAAGGGCAUAACCUCCUCACCAAAAAAAAUAAUCUGAACUUGUUUCACUUAAUUCCAGACAUGAAACCCAACACCAUCUUGAGAAGUCCAUGGCUAAUCUAUAAUGUCCAGG